rnacentral:rRNA from 1 species
AACGAUGAAACCCAACUGAUUUCUGUCGGAAUCGAUUUUGGGUGGAUUAGUGGCGGACGGGUGAGUAACCUGCCUUGACAGCAAGGGGAUAGCCUUUGGCAAACGAAGAAUAAUACCCUAUGACACCAACACCUCGCAUGAAGAGUUGGUCAAAGAUUUAUCUGCUCUAAGAUGGACUUGCGUCUGAUUACGUUAGUUGGUGAGGUAACGGCUCACCAAGACAGCGAUCAGUAGCCGGCUUGAGAGAGUGUACGGCCACAUUGGGACUGAGACACGGCCCAGACUCCUACGGGAGGCAGCAGUGGGGAAUUUUGCACAAUGGGGGAAACCCUGAUGCAGCGACCGCCGCGGGAUUUAGAAGGCCUUCGGGUUGUAAAAAUCUUUUUUAUGGGAUGAAAAUGACAGUACCAUAAGAAUAAGGUCCGGCUAAAUACGCUGCCAGCAGCCGCGGUAAUACGUAUGGACCGAGCGUUGUCCGGAAUCAUUGGGACGUAAAGGGUACGUAGGCGGCCUAGUAAGUUAGAAGUGAAAUAAUAUAGCUCAACAUAUAUAAAGCUUUUUAAAACUGUUAGGCUUGAUGAGAUGAAAGGGAAAGUGGAAUUCCUAGUGUCAGCGGUGAAAUGCGCAAGAUAUUAGGAAGAAUACCGGUGGCGAAGGCGACUCUUCUGGUCAUCAUCUCGACGCUGAGGUACGAAAGCGUGGGUAGCACAACAGGAUUAGAUCACCCUGGUAGUCCACGCUGUAAACGAUGAGUGUUAG